rnacentral:tRNA from 1 species
GGGGGUUUAGCUCAGCUGGGAGAGCGCCUGCCUUGCACGCAGGAGGUCAUCGGUUCGAUCCCGUUAACCUCCA